GAAACCAGAGAGAAAACCAAAAAAGAAGAGAGCAACAAUGAAACGAUCACUUAGCUGUAUUUCACCUGACGGAAGAUCCACAUUUUGUCUUUGU
rnacentral:ribozyme from 1 species